AACGAACGCUGGCGGCAUGCCUUACACAUGCAAGUCGAGCGGCAGCGCGGGGCAACCUGGCGGCGAGCGGCGAACGGGUGAGUAAUACAUCGGAACGUACCCAGUUGUGGGGGAUAGCCCGGCGAAAGCCGGAUUAAUACCGCAUACGACCUGAGGGUGAAAGCGGGGGAUCGCAAGACCUCGCGCGAUUGGAGCGGCCGAUAUCAGAUUAGGUAGUUGGUGGGGUAAAGGCCCACCAAGCCGACGAUCUGUAGCUGGUCUGAGAGGACGACCAGCCACACUGGAACUGAGACACGGUCCAGACUCCUACGGGAGGCAGCAGUGGGGAAUUUUGGACAAUGGGCGCAAGCCUGAUCCAGCAAUGCCGCGUGCAGGAUGAAGGCCUCGGGUUGUAAACUGCUUUUGUACGGUAACGAAACGGUCUGCUCUAUACAGUGGGCGUAAUGACGG
rnacentral:rRNA from 1 species